rnacentral:rRNA from 1 species
AAAAUUCUACAAUGGGGGCAACCCUGAUCCAGCCAUGCCGCCUAUGUGAAGAAGGCCUUCGGAUUGUAAAGCACGUUCAGUGGGGAGGAAGCGCUUGAGGUGAAUAGCCUGUAGGUUCGACGUUACCAACAUAUUAAGCACCGCCUAAUGCGGUGCAAGCAGCCGCGGUAAUACAGAGGGUGCAAGCCUUAAUCGGAAUUACUGGGCGUAAAGCGCACGUAGGCGGAUCGGUAAGAUGGGGGUGAAAUCCCCGGGCUUAACCCGGGAACUGCUUUCAUAACUGUUGAGCUAGAGUACGAUAGAGGGUAGUGGAAUUUCCUGUGUAGAGGUGAAAUGCGUAGAUAUAGUAAGGAACACCAGUGGCGAAGGCGGCUAACUGGACUGAUACUGACACUGAGGUGCGAAAGCGUGGGGAGCAAAC